UACAGAGGGGGCAAGCGUUGUUCGGAAUUACUGGGCGUAAAGGGCGCGUAGGCGGCCUUCUAAGUCGAACGUGAAAUCCCCGGGCUCAACCCGGGAACUGCGUCCGAUACUGGAAGGCUUGAAUCCGGGAGAGGGAUGCGGAAUUCCAGGUGUAGCGGUGAAAUGCAUAGAUAUGUCACAGAACACCAAUUGCGAAGGCAGCUUACUAUGGUUUUAUUGACACUGAGGCACGAAGGCGUGGGGAUCAAACAGG
rnacentral:rRNA from 1 species